UACAUUUUACUGCCCCCGGGGCUUUGCACGCCCUAAGUCCCGUCUGCUGCAAACACCUCGCUCGACCUGGGAGUCUGACUGUGGAGCCUAUGACACCAUGUAUACUGAAGGUCCUUUCAAAUGGAAACAUCAAGUCUUAUAUGUGCUAGUCUUUGCGUGGAGACCCACUUGUUGAUCAAAGUUUCACUCGGGGUAUGUGCCUGCAGACUUCCUAAAGUCGACUAGGACUAGGGUGACUUGGAGUAGAUCACCGGAGAGUAAAGGAAUAUCAUUAUUACCCUCAGUAUUACAGAUGUCUACGGUGCACCAUGUACCAGUAAACAUGUCCAUGGAUCUACUUCAAUUACAUCAAUUCCCGUCUGUACUUUGUCAACGUUGCAGUCAAUAAAGCUAACAAGAGCGCCAUAGACGUCUGCUUGUUAUUAUUCUCUCUGGAAUUAUUACAAAUGAAAGCUUCCCGUGGACUUUGAUCACACAUGCAUGAGCAUCGGUGUGUGUCGGUGGCUCGGUUCCAUAUAAUCGAUUUGCAUAACGGCUUGUGCUUGGUUCCUAUUGGUGGGAGCUCUGGUCACGUGACAAAUCUAUUAUACCUUCCAGUUGUUAUUAUGAACAGUCAGUCAAUAGUACCUAUUAUAUCCCGCCGGAGCGUUGCUAUUCUACGGGUAUACGUGGUGCUGGCGCGCUAACUGUGUAGAGUUUGAAGUACAUGUGCUUUAGCUUAAAUUGAGAGAGGUUUCCUGACAUAGUCGUGUUCGCUUCGGCAACACAUCUAAUAAAAUUGGAACGAUACAGAGAAGAUUAGCAUGGCCCCUGCGCAAGGAUGACACGCAAAAUCGUGAAGCGUUCCAUAUUUUU